GGGGAUGUAGCUCAGUGGUAGAGCGCUUGCCUAGGAAGCGCAAGGCCCUGGGUUCGGUCCCCAGCUCCA
rnacentral:tRNA from 1 species